rnacentral:rRNA from 1 species
AUUGAACGCUAGCGGGAUGCCUUACACAUGCAAGUCGAACGGAGUGGCGAACGGGUGAGUAAUGUAUCGGAACGUGCCCAGUAGCGGGGGAUAACUACGCGAAAGCGUAGCUAAUACCGCAUACUAUUGGAGCGGCCGAAAUCGGAUUAGCUAGUUGGUGGGGUAACGGCCCACCAAGGCACCGAUCCGUAGCUGGUUUGAGAGGACGACCAGCCACGCGGGGACGGAGACACGGCCCUGCCUCCGACGGGAGGCAGCGUGGGGGAAUUUUGGACAAUGGGGGAAACCCUGAUGCAGCCGUCCCGCGGGUGCGAUGAAGGCCUUCGGGUUGUAAAGCACUUUUGGCAGGAAAGCGGUACCUGCAGAAUAAGCACCGGCUAACUACGUGCCAGCAGCCGCGGUAAUAC